rnacentral:lncRNA from 1 species
AAAUUAUGUACUUCCAUUAUUAUAUAAGAUAACUAAAACCUUAAACUUGGGGUUUGUUCGUAAAGAUACCAUUUUCUCAUAAGCCACUGCAAUUUACAGGUAUCAUUUUAUUAUUCAAGAACAAGUUUAAAACUCAUACAAAACGAAAUGAGAAAAUGAAUUACAAUUGAAACCCGCUAACAGCCAGUUUUAUAAUACAAAUAUAAAAGAGAAGUAGCUCAUUUCUACUGGAUUCUUCAGAGUAAGCCCUCCUUGUGUAUCCAUGGUUGCAGCCGUUGAGCCUUCACAUCUCGGCUCCCUCUUAGAGAAAGCAGGCUAGAUACCAAUUACUGAAAAACAAAAAACUCACACAGUAAUCUUCUCAUUGAGUUUAGAUGAACAAAAGAGCAUUCAAUUGACAAUAAAUAAAGGACUCUAAAUAUGAGUGGUGAUAUGUCAAGAUGGCCGGUUAGUACGCCAUUACGACGAAAUUGAAUUCCGAAAUUCAUUUCAAGAGUAUCUUUUUAUUAGAAACCUAUUAAUUUAGUUCUUGUUAAGGCCUUCAUAGAGACAUCCGAUAUCAUAUGUCAACACGAAAAUUUCAGACAUAUGCUUGUCUAUAUAUCAAUUAUUAAUCAUCGGCCACAUAAUUUAGAAAAUAAAAUUGUUUUAACCAAUAAAUAGAAGAUUUUCACUUUCAAAGGAAAAAAAAAAAUUUAAUAAAGAUCACAAGAAAUCAGAGGUAGAUGAUAAGGGUCAUCAGAUAGGAGCGAAAGACUAGAAGUUUAAAUAAUCACAGAUUAAUCAUCUGAACUAUGCUGAAAAAAUCAUCACUGACCCCAAAAAAAAAGAGAUUUUAGAUUGCAAAAUUUAAUACCUCAGAAGGAAGGCAGUAGUGGUAUUGUAAUCACGAAUUUUCAUAUGUUACAAAAAUCACUAUAUCAUUCGUCAUUGGCAUUUGAAAAUUAAUUAGAAAUCUGUUUUCCAUUUUCUCAGCAACCAAACAAGGAGAACGAUACAAGAAAGAAAAUUGAGAGAUCAGCCUCAUAGAGAAGAUUAGUCGGAUCCACAUGGAUUGAUUCAGACAUAUGCUUGUCUAAAUUUUAGUUUAUAAUCAUUGGCAGAUCCGGUAAGUAAAUUCAACUUCAAAACAAAAUACAAACCCUAAUUUUGAAAUUUGAAAAAGAAAAAAGAGUAAAAACUUUGAUGAGUGAAAGAAAAGAAAUUAGGGACUCAGAAUAUGGGUGGUGAUAUAACAGGAUGGUCGGCAAGGCUAAUUCCUUAACCAGUUACGACGAACGAGACCUUUCACUGCGGAAUCUUCACCGUCCCAUACAUCAAUCAAUCAUAAAAUUUCAAAGAACACAAAAUUAAAAAAAAAAAAUUAAAGAAUCGCCAGUGGAUAAGAAAUCCCAACCAGCUUAACUGCAAGCGACUUUGACAGACACUACCUCAUCUUCUGAUUCUUGUUUCGUUACCUGAUACUUAUAUAGAGACGCGAAGGGGGGGAGGCGGGGAGCUAGGGUUUCUUUGACGUUAAAAAUUUUGUAGGGUUUAUCUAGGUAUUUAAGAGUAUUAGCAGGUGUAUGGUUAUUGGGUUGUAUCGCUCGUGAUGGACUUGCGUGGAUGGUCUUUGCCUAAUUAGCCUUAAGC